rnacentral:rRNA from 1 species
AGCUCCAAUAGCGUAUAUUAAAGUUGUUGCAGUUAAAUAGCUCGUAGUUGAAUUUUGGGCUGGGCUGGGUGGUCUCGCCGCAAGGUGUGCACUGCUCCGGUCUGGUCUUUCCUUCUGGGUAACUUUUGUGCUCUUAAGUGGGUGCAUUAGGGAUCCAGGACUUUUACUUUGAAAAAAUUAGAGUGUUUAAAGCGGGCAUUUGCUUGAAUACAUUAGCAUGGAAUAAUAGAAUAGGACUUUGGUCUUUAUUUUGUUGGUUUUCAGGACCGAAGUAAUGAUUAAUAGGGACAGUUGGGGGCAUUAGUAUUUAAUUGUCAGAGGUGAAAUUCUUGGAUUUAUGAAAGACUAACUUCUGCGAAAGCAUUUGCCAAGGAUGUUUUCA